UCCAUACAGAAUUUGCUUCCAUGGCAAGUCAACCACUUCAUAGUCCUAAAUCUUACCUUUUUAAUAACAUUUGUAUCAUACUAUUAUUUAAACGUAAAAAUAGAGACAACAAUAUACAUGAAGAUACUCUAUAAUUUAUAUGCAGCUUCUAAUACCAAGUCACCAAAAGAAAAGGAAAAUCUCAUAAUGGUUAUCAGAAUACCUCUGCUUUUGUUACAAUUUGUGUUUGAAAGAAAGAACCUAAACAUGAGUAUUAGUAUUCUAAAAACUUGCAGUUUGAGCCGAAGUGCUUCGCUAUUUGAAGAUACCUGGUAUUCACUAUUCACACAAGAAAAUGAUACAACAAAGUAA